rnacentral:rRNA from 1 species
ACGGAAGGCAGCAGUGGGGAAUAUUGCACAAUGGGGGAAACCCUGAUGCAGCAACGCCGCGUGAGGGAUGAAGGUUUUCGGAUUGUAAACCUCUGUCUUCGGUGACGAUUAUGACGGUAGCCGAGGAGGAAGCUCCGGCUAACUACGUGCCAGCAGCCGCGGUAAUACGUAGGGAGCGAGCGUUGUCCGGAUUUACUGGGUGUAAAGGGUGCGUAGGCGGGACUUCAAGUCAGGUGUGAAAUCUAUCGGCUUAACCGGUAAACUGCACUUGAAACUGUAGUUCUUGAGUGAAGUAGAGGCAGGCGGAAUUCCGAGUGUAGCGGUGAAAUGCGUAGAUAUUCGGAGGAACACCAGUGGCGAAGGCGGCCUGCUGGGCUUUUACUGACGCUGAGGCACGAAAGCGUGGGGAGCAAACAGGAUUAGAUACCCUGGUA